ACCAACAAACUCUAAAUAAAGAACUAAUCAAAAUACACCUCUCUCUCAUUUAGAACCUGUCAAACCCUAAAUUUUCCCCCAAAAAAUAAGAACCCUUAUUUUCGCUGUCCUCUUUUCCCCCCAAAAGUAAGAACCCUAAUAUUCUCUCUCCUCUUUUCCCCAAAAUUAAUAACCCUAAUUCUCUCGAACAAUCGUCGUCGCCGCCAUAACAAUCAUCAUCACCGCCAGAACAAUCUCCGUCGCCGCCUUCGAAUUUAGAGUAUUAUGGAGGGUACUAGUGCACCAACUUCAUCGACUAUUCAUCAUGAGCUCGUGUACUUACUGCAAAAUCUUGAAGUUUUCCUACUAGAACGUACACUGAGAUAUAACAAGACACAUUUGUUAGAAACAAGUCCUUAGAAUUGUUGUUCUUAGCCUCAAAGGCUUGUGUGGAAUCUGAUUGAAUUUUAAUAUUCUUUACUUCGAAGGCGAGGAUAUAUUUCCUGUUAUGAAAAGCAAGAAACCUGAACGAUAUAAAGCCAAUUUUGUUAACCACCUUUUGGUGCUGAAA